GAUGAAGAACGCAGCGAAAUGCGAUACGUAAUGUGAAUUGCAAAUUCAGUGAAUCAUCGAGUCAUUGAACGCACAUUGCGCCCCCUGGUAUUCCGGGGGGCAUGCCUGUCCGAGCGUCAUUGCUGCCCUCAAGCACGGCUUGUGUGUUGGGCCCCGUCCUCCGAUCCCGGGGGACGGGCCCGAAAGGCAGCGGCGGCACCGCGUCCGGUCCUCGAGCGUAUGGGGCUUUGUCACCCACUCUGUAGGCCCGGCCGGCGCUUGCCGAUCAACCCAAAUUUUUAUCCAGGUUGACCUCGGAUCAGGUAGGGAUACCCGCUGAACUUAAGCAUAUCAAUAAGCGGAGGA
rnacentral:misc_RNA from 1 species